rnacentral:rRNA from 1 species
UACGGGGGGGGGCAAGCGUUGUUCGGAAUUACUGGGCGUAAAGGGCUCGUAGGCGGCCAACUAAGUCAGACGUGAAAUCCCUCGGCUUAACCGGGGACUGCGUCUGAUACUGGAUGGCUUGAGGUUGGGAGAGGGAUGCGGAAUUCCAGGUGUAGCGGUGAAAUGCGUAGAUAUCUGGAGGAACACCGGUGGCGAAGGCGGCAUCC